rnacentral:lncRNA from 1 species
AGUGUGAAUAGUACUGGCUGGAUGACCUCCCGGGAAGUCCAAACUCAGGAGCUUACAUUUGGUAUCAGAGAGGUCUCAUGUCCGACUCUGUUGGUUGGCUAAGGGAAUCACACCACAUGUUGAUUGACAUCUGGCUGGUCUAGUUUGCUCUUGGGAGAGCUGCGGCUCUCAGCUUCCAUUCACGAGGGCGUGAACUUGCAGGGAAGCGUGGUGGAUUGUAAGCAACCAAAGGGAACGACUUGAGAGAUGAUCCAUGGGGUUCAAAUAUAGAGGAAAAGGGCCCAUGAACAAGAGUGCACCCCCUUUUCCAAUCGGUUAAGGGUCUUGGGAUAGUUGGGGUUAAGUGUCCUUGAGUGUGAAUAGUACUGGGCUGGAUGACCUCUCGGGAAGUCCAAACUCAGGAGCUUACAGAAUAAUACUGGGUUGGGUGACCUCCCGGGAAGUCCAAAUUUAAGAGCUUACAUUUGGUAUCAGAGGGGUCUCAAGUCCAACUCUGUUGGUUGGCUAAGGGAAUCACACCACAAGUUUAUUGACAUCUGGCUGGUCCAAUUUACUCCCGCUGGGCUCGACCCGAGGGGUAGGGUGUCAAGAGAGUGGGGCUCUCGGGAGAGCUACGGCUUUCAGCUUCCGUUCACGAGGGUGUGAACUUGCAGGGAAGCGUGGUGGAUUGUAAGCAACCAAAGAGAACGACUUGAGAGACGAUCCAUGGGGUUCAAAUAUAGAGGGGAAGCAUGAUAAAUUGUAAGCAACCAAAGAGAACGACUUGAGAGACGAUCCAUAGGGUUCAAAUAUAGAGGGAAAGGGCCCAUGAAUAAGAGUGCACC